UCUCUGGUGGUUCAGUGGCUAGAGUUCUGUGCUUCGAAUGCAGGGGAUCCAGGUUCAAUCCCUGGUCAGGGAA